GCCGUGUGCGCGGGGCUCGGGAGAGCGCGGAGUCCGGCAGGCUGAGAGCAGAGCCUGAGUGCGCCGCCGGUUCAGCCGGGCAGGGUCGCCUCGCGCCAGGAUGCUGCGCCCCGCCGCCCUGUCCAGCCAGCAACCCUGGCGCGACCCCGGGAAGAAGCACAGGUUCUUUCGUCCAGUCGCCGCUGGAGGACCGAAAGUUUUGCUCGCUGCAAGUCUCUUCCUCCCAGAGUCCCAGUCACCCACCAUGCGACGUCCCAGAAGGAUCCCGGAGGCUUAGUGGGAACGAAAUCGGCUGUUUUGCACCCCUCCAUCCUUAUCCCUCAGGGUAGAGCAGGGACUCUAGAGAGUACACCUCCCAGCUACCAUCCACUUCACCCUGUCUCCUCUCUCGGUGAGCCUUGGAAUCCGGUCUCUUCGCAGAUGCCUUCAGGAGUCAGAAGCAAAGGGGAAAUGGACAUAACUCCGAGAAACCGGUUUUAUUUCACAUUUAGAUACGGUUCUUCUGGUGAAGAUAGAAGGCAAAAAAAGUGAAUUUCGCCUGGAGUCCUUGGGAGACUGAGGCAGCAGGAUUGUGAGUUACAGGCCAGCCUGGGCUACAUAGCAAGAUUCUGCCUCACAAACACAAUAUAAAAGUUUUUUGUUUUUUUGUUUUUUGUUUUUUUGCCUUCAGCACUGGAUGCUGCAGGGAUCUAUCACACACUUGCUCAGCAUUGUGGGGUCAGAGCUGCCCUUUUUGUCCCAUUUCUAGUGCCUUUUCCCUGCGCUCGGCCAUGAUGGUCUCGUGACUCCAUUCACACCCAUGUCUUACUUUCAUAGCAUGCAUUCAGACCCUGCUCUCUGUAUGACAGUGUAGCGUGUGACCUGUGGCAACAGUCAUCGUGGAGGUAGUCUUCCUAAGAAAUGUACCCUAGCCCGUGCAGAUGCAUCCUGUACACCCAGGCUCAGUAGCCACAGCCAACAGAAGUCUCCGCAAAGAUUCUCCCAAGGUGCAUUUUCCAAAUUAAAUAUCUGUGACCUGGA
rnacentral:lncRNA from 1 species